rnacentral:rRNA from 1 species
UACGGAGGGAGCUAGCGUUGUUCGGAACUACUGGGCGUAAAGCGCACGUAGGCGGCUUUGUAAGUUAGAGGUGAAAGCCCGGGGCUCAACCCCGGAAUUGCCUUUAAGACUGCAUCGCUUGAAUCCGGGAGAGGUGAGUGGAAUUCCGAGUGUAGAGGUGAAAUUCGUAGAUAUUCGGAAGAACACCAGUGGCGAAGGCGGCUCACUGGACCGGUAUUGACGCUGAGGUGCGAAAGCGUGGGGAGCAAACAGG